AUCCUCCCACCUGAGCCUCCCAAGUAGCUGGGAUCACAGGCUCAAAUGGGUGCCAUAGCAGAUGAGUAGCUGCCUGAAGCAUGGGACAGUCUCUAUGGUCAUUGAGUCCAAGGAAAAUAAGCACCCUCGAUCCAGCCUUCCACCCUGUGCUCCUGGAGAAAAAUGGAUGCAGCUAUGAUCUAUCUUGCAAAGACUGUGUGUGAUGGCAGAGCUGCUGAGGUACCCCACAGGUAGCCUGAAACAGGAGUAUUGUGUUCCUUCAGAAAUGAAGGUGAACUGUAGUUGAGAGGCUAUUGAAAUGGGCCUGGAACAGAACACACUCUCCAAAUCUAUAAAAGCAAAAUAUUUGCUCAUUAUUGAUUUAAUAGAAUCAGUAAUUUUAAUAAUAUUAGCUGUUUUGUAUGGGGGCCCUAAUUGGUAGGAACACAUUGUUAAGGUUAUAGUAAUGCACCAUGAGGCACUUUACCCUUUUUUUAUCCCCCAGGUUUAACAGGCAAGAUUGGGAUAUCAAAUAGAGAAGCAGUUGGGAUAAUUGCCUUUUUAUUAAUUAGGUUUAACCCUUGAAGGCCCUGUUGUACCCUAUAUUGGACCAGAUUAACUAUUUUAACUGGGUAUUCAUGGGGUCCCAUUUUAUCAAGCCAGUUUGUAAAAGACCUACCUUAAUUUAUGAUUUAUGUUAGAGCAUCUAUGCUCCAAUAUGGGAUAUAUUAGGGCAAUGGGUAUUAUGACUUGGGAAAUAUAGGCAAGGCUACAUUUAAAGUGAGGCAUUCCUACUUUUUCUCUAUUUUAUAUAUAGUGACUUUCUUAAGAUAGGAGAGGCACAAUGCUUAAAUUUAAUGGGAUCCCCCGGUAUAACUGUAAUUUGAGCUCCAGUACUGAUUAUGUCCAUGGAGUUUUGUCAUUGGGUACAUUUUAGCUUCUUUUAAUUUCAACCUGAUAGACCUCCUUUAGCCUUUUUUUUUUUUUUUUUUUUUUUUUGCAGAGCAGGUCUAGUGAUAAUCAACUCCCUCCACUUUUGUUUAUCUGGGAAUAUGUGAAUUUCUCCAUAAUUUUUCAAGAACAUUUUGCUGAAUAUAAAAUUCUCUAUUGACAGCUUUUUUUCUUCACCCUUUACGUUUAUUGACCCACUUCCUUCUAGCUUCCAAGGUUUCUGAUGAGACACUGGCUAAUAGUCUUGAGGAUCCCCUAUAUGAGAGGAGUUGCUUCUCUCUUCCUAUUUUCAAGAUUAUCUGUCUUUGGCUUUUGACAUUUGAUUAUGUGUCUCAGUGUGGGUCUCUUCACAAUUCUCCUGCUUAGAGUUCAUUCAUGGUGAACUCUUGCUGGGUUGGCAAAUUCAUAUCUUUCAUCAAAUUUGGAGAUUUUUCAGCCAUUAUGUCUUCAAGUAUUUUUCUCUGCCCCUUUCUUUCUUUUCCCCUUCAGGGAUUCCCAAAUUGUUGUUGUGCUAAAGUUCCAAUCCUCAUUCUUUUUUAUAUUGAUAAUUUGUAUUUUCCUGUUUUUAAGUUUGCUGAAUCUCUCCUCUGAUUGCAUGUCUUCUGAAUCCCUUUAUUGUAUUCAUAUUUUGUUUCCAUUACUGUAAAUUUUGAUCUAGAAUGUUUUUUGUUCUUUUUAGAAAUCAUUUUAUCUCUUUAUUUCUAUCCUCAUUUUGCUCAUACAUCUUUUUCCUUUGUUCAUGUCUUUAGCUUUUUAAGCAUCUUUAAGACAGUUGUCUUUUUCUGGCGAGACUGACAUCUGGGUUUCCUCAAGUAUGUUUUCCCUCCAUUCAUUUUGUUCCUUUAAUUGGGCCAUACUUUUAUGUUUUUUUGGCAUGCCUUCAGGUUUUUGUUGUUGUAGAAGACUGGGCAUUUGAAUCUUACCAUGUGGUAACUCUGGAAAUCAUAUUUCCCGCCACCUUUCCCUGGAUUUGCUGCAUUUUUGCCUCUGUUUUCAUUAUUAUGGGAUAAUUAUGUGCCAGAGAUCGGCCUAAAGUGAAAACUGAAGAAGGUCUUUUCAGUGCUUGCAUCUUUCCAUGGGCAUGUGAGGUGGCUUUCUGAAUUCUUCCGUAUAUGUAGUUGUUUUUGAAGACAAACAAAAAAAUAGGUGCAAUUCUUUUAUAUCUGUGAAAAGACACUUCAUCCAGUGGGGGUUGAAACAAUGAUGACUAGCCUACAAGCCCACAAGAUCAGAAGCACCAAUCCACAGUCAGAACACAAAACCUCAGUAUCUGUGGGAUAAGGGACUUAUUGCCCACCCUGGCUCCAGAAAUCUGCACCAGAAUGACAUUCCCAUCCCCAAAGCUGCUUGCCAUGGAGCUGGGAGUGAGGAAUGUGUAGCCAAUACCACUCUGAUGGCUGCAAUCAACACAAAUUGUAAUUUAUUAGGCAAGCUGGAAAUUACAAGCAUUCAGGUAAACUCUGGAGUUCCAACAUAGUUACUUCAGAAAGAUGCCAGAAUAGUUUUUCAGGUACAGUGGCAGAUUCGUGGCACUUCCUAUUUGGUCAUUUUCCCUGAAAUCAUACUCCACAUAUUUGGUUUUGUAGUAUUUUAUAGUAUCUGAAAUAAUAUGUCUCUAAAUAUUUAUGUGAUCUGUUGCAGGCAGUAAAAUAUGGAAAACUGGGUACUCACCUUUAAGAAAUGAAGUACCACUCUCUUCAUAAGAGUCUUUUGAUGCUCAUUCCUAGUGGCCCUCUGGGUGCUACUUAGCCAUUGCCUCGAAGAAUAUGAAGAGCUACAUUACCUAGAAGGAUGUGCUUCAUAUGCCCAAAUGAGAGCCUAGGACAGGAGUGUUUCCUGCAGCCUGCAUUAUUGUGGCCUGCACUAUUGGCACUGCUACAGUGGACUUUCAUUUGUCACAUGACCUGUCUGACCACACCACCCAGGGGGAGCAGGUGACUCUUUGGGACCAAGCUAGGAAGGCCAGUAAGGAGGAUAGGACUCAUCUAGACACCUUUGUAGGGCCUAGGAGAGAGUUCAGCUGAGUGAAGUACUGAUACAGUCGCCUCCCUCCUAGCACAGGUGUGUUAACUAGUCUCACAUUCUUGGACUCUCAACCACAUGGCUGUGGCAUGCUGACAUGGAGGAUCGUGGCAUCCUGGGAUUCUUCAGGCCUUCUCUUCCUGCUGAUAGGGUCACUCUCAGUCCAGAGUCCUAGAAUUAAAUCAAGUAUUACAAAAGAAAGUUCCUCUUUCUUGGCAAUUGGUGGUAUGUGGUGGGGAAGUAUGAACUAUAACUUCUUAGUAUCCCCCAUUCAUGUACAGUGGCAUGUGCAGAUCCUUGGGAGAGGCAUGGCCUGCAGAAUCCAGAGACAUGUUUGGAUCAUGCUGUACCCUAUCUCAGGGCUGUGGCCUUGUGCAAGCUAUCUUGCUAUCCUUCACCUCCAUUUUCCUCAAGGAAGGCUUAAAGGGGAAAUAUUAACCAUCAUUCUUUCUAGAUGAGAGUAUCAGAGAUGGCUAAUGUGUGAUGUGUGUUCCCAGUGCCCAGCACUGUGCAAGGAACAUCCCUCUGGAUGCUAUUUCUAGGGAGAUACAUCCUUAGGCCUAUAAAUCUGCCCUCUACUCCAUCUUCCUUUGCUCACUGCUCUCCUGCCAAGCUGUCCUGAUCAUUCUAAGCUCUUUCCCACUUCCCAGUGUUUCUCUCUGCCUGGGACACUGAGUCCAGAUCUCUGCAGUGCCUCUCCCUCUCCUCUCCUCCUUUGCAUCCUUCCCUGUUCUGCACCAAUGUCAAUGUCACCUACUAGGAGAGUCUUUUUUUUUUUUCCCUUUGGCCUUGCUAGCUCUAGAUUAAGUAUUUCUCAUCUUCUGGAAUCUUUGUGCAGAGAAUGUGGCACACUUACAAAAGUAGAGAUCAGGACUUGGUUCGGUUUUCCAGGGUGGUGUGGAAGCAAAGAGGCUAAGUAACAAUAAUAACUACAUUUAUUGAGUUCUGAGGGUAACUUGUUAUGUAGCACUUCAUUUAAUCCCAAUUUCCUCAGAGUUAGGUUCUAUUAUUCCUGCUUUACAGAAAAGGAACCUGAGGUUUGGAAAACUUAAGUUAUCUUCUCAGGGUCACACAACUCUUGGCGGAAACUCACAUCCUGUAUGUUGAGCCCUUGAGCCUUUGUUCUUUCUUCUUCUUCACCACCAUUCCUCCUCAGUGGGCUGGGGAAGCCUGAGGUGAUACCUGACAAAGAUUUCUCUUUCUUUCACCAAACUCUAGCUAGGCCCCUCUGAGCCUUCUUUAAUAGGCCUGUCAACUUUUGCCUAUUAAGACUUGAACAACACUAACACUUUCUAAUAACUUUUAAAGUGCUGGCCUGAAAAACUCAAGGCUGUCCAAAGAAUUUCUUCCAGCCAACACCUGAAGAUAAGACCCCUGUCUCACAGUCUCUGUGGGAGGAUAGGAUCCUAAUUCAAGUGCCAGUAGCAAACCCAGAUAGACUGCACAUAGACCAGCCCCCUCCCUUCCUGUGUUUUGUAAUUUUUCACUUUUCUGACUCUACUGAGCCCCUCUUCUCCACCCCCUCCCUAUUUCCUCACCCUUCCUUUAACAUACUCAUUCACCUCUGUACAAAUCAAAGCUGGGUUCAGUUCAUGCCAAAUUCCUUUCCCCAUUGCAAUAGUUAUUACCAAUUAAAGUCCGUUCUCCCCACUGUCA